rnacentral:rRNA from 1 species
AACGAACGCUGGCGGCAGGCUUAACACAUGCAAGUCGAACGCGUGUAGCAAUACACGAGUGGCGCACGGGUGAGUAACGCGUGGAUAUCUGCCUUUUGGUUCGGAAUAACUCCGGGAAACUGGAGCUAAUACCGGAUGGUUCCUACGGGAUAAAGAUUUAUCGCCAAAAGAUGAGUCCGCGUACGAUUAGCUAGUUGGUG